rnacentral:rRNA from 1 species
AUACAUAGGGGGCGAGCGUUGUCCGGAAUGAUUGGGCGUAAAGGGCGCGUAGGCGGCCCGGUAAGUCUGGAGUGAAAGUCCUGUUUUUAAGAUGGGAAUUGCUUUGGAUACUGUCGGGCUUGAGUGCAGGAGAGGUAAGUGGAAUUCCCAGUGUAGCGGUGAAAUGCGUAGAGAUUGGGAGGAACACUAGUGGCGAAGGCGACUUACUGGACUGUAACUGACGCUGAGGCGCGAAAGUGUGGGGAGCAAACAGGAUUAGAUACCCUGGUAGUCCACACUGUAAACGAUGAAUGCUAGGUGUAGGGAGUAUCGACCCCUUCUGUGCCGCAGUCAACACAAUAAGCAUUCCGCCUGGGGAGCACGGCCGCAAGGUUGAAACUUAAAGGAAUUGACGGGG